UUGAUCCUGGCUCAGAUUGAACGCUGGCGGCAGGCUUAACACAUGCAAGUCGAACGGUAACAGGAAGCAGCUUGCUGCUUUGCUGACGAGUGGCGGACGGGUGAGUAAUGUCUGGGAAACUGCCUGAUGGAGGGGGAUAACUACUGGAAACGGUAGCUAAUACCGCAUAACGUCGCAAGACCAAAGUGGGGGACCUUCGGGCCUCAUGCCAUCAGAUGUGCCCAGAUGGGAUUAGCUAGUAGGUGGGGUAAUGGCUCACCUAGGCGACGAUCCCUAGCUGGUCUGAGAGGAUGACCAGCCACACUGGAACUGAGACACGGUCCAGACUCCUACGGGAGGCAGCAGUGGGGAAUAUUGCACAAUGGGCGCAAGCCUGAUGCAGCCAUGCCGCGUGUAUGAAGAAGGCCUUCGGGUUGUAAAGUACUUUCAGCGAGGAGGAAGGCAUCAGGGUUAAUAACCCUGGUGAUUGACGUUACUCGCAGAAGAAGCACCGGCUAACUCCGUGCCAGCAGCCGCGGUAAUACGGAGGGUGCAAGCGUUAAUCGGAAUUACUGGGGCGUAAAGCGCACGCAGGCGGUCUGUUAAGUCAGAUGUGAAAUCCCCGGGCUCAACCUGGGAACUGCAUUUGAAACUGGCAGGCUUGAGUCUCGUAGAGGGGGGGGUAGAAUUUCCAGGUGGUAGCGGGUGAAAUGCGCGUAGAGAUUCUUGGGAGGAAAAUCCGGGGUGGGCGAAGGGCGGUCCCCUUGGACGAAGACUGACGCUCAGUGGCGAAAGGCCGUGGGGGAGCAAACAGGAUUAGAUACCCUGGUAGUCCACGCGGUAA
rnacentral:rRNA from 1 species